rnacentral:sRNA from 1 species
GGUUAAUUAGCAGAGUAACUGAAUAUAGUAAUUCUGCCAGUCUCCUUCAGACAAAA